rnacentral:rRNA from 1 species
UACGUAGGGUGCGAGCGUUGUCCGGAAUUACUGGGCGUAAAGAGCUCGUAGGUGGUUUGUCGCGUUGUUCGUGAAAACUCACAGCUCAACUGUGGGCGUGCGGGCGAUACGGGCAGACUGGAGUACUGCAGGGGAGACUGGAAUUCCUGGUGGUAGCGGUGGAAUGCGCAGAUAUCAGGAGGAACACCGGUGGCGAAGGCGGGUCUCUGGGCAGUAACUGACGCUGAGGAGCGAAAGCGUGGGGAGCGAACAGG